UGCCUCUGUAGCUGAGGGCCCCUGGCGCGUGGUUUCAUCAGAGGCAGACAGCUGCUGUGGCCAAGGCCAUUCCAGCCUCAGGAGGGCAAGAGGAGGCCUGUUGGAUGCAUCCUGAAAACACAGGCCAUCACUGUGGGUGAGAUCUACCAGGACAGAUGCCAUUCUGCAAAGUGGGUACUUUCCAUGAGAAUCCAUCCAUGUUUUUCUCUUAUUCCUUCUCUUGGCAGAUUUUCACUCUUUUCACAACCUUGUUUCAUAGACAUCAAACAAUAACACAGCACAGAAGGAAAACAAGGGUCUUCUUAUACAAAUACCAUGUAUUUAAUUCUGGCACUCAUGAUUUAUUUAUAUCAGAAAGUCAUCUUAAAUUUUUAGGAGCUCA
rnacentral:lncRNA from 1 species